GAUGAACGCUGGCGGCGUGCCUAAUACAUGCAAGUCGAGCGAACGGACGAGAAGCUUGCUUCUCUGAUGUUAGCGGCGGACGGGUGAGUAACACGUGGAUAACCUACCUAUAAGACUGGGAUAACUUCGGGAAACCGGAGCUAAUACCGGAUGAUAUUUUGAACCGCAUGGUUCAAAAGUGAAAGACGGUCUUGCUGUCACUUAUAGAUGGAUCCGCGCUGCAUUAGCUAGUUGGUAAGGUAACGGCUUACCAAGGCAACGAUGCAUAGCCGACCUGAGGGGGUGAUCGGCCACACUGGAACUGAGACACGGUCCAGACUCCUACGGGAGGCAGCAGUAGGGAAUCUUCCGCAAUGGGCGAAAGCCUGACGGAGCAACGCCGCGUGAGUGAUGAAGGUCUUCGGAUCGUAAAACUCUGUUAUUAGGGAAGAACAAAUGUGUAAGUAACUGUGCACAUCUUGACGGUACCUAAUCAGAAAGCCACGGCUAACUACGUG
rnacentral:rRNA from 1 species